rnacentral:rRNA from 1 species
AGUGAACGCUGGCGGUAGGCCUAACACAUGCAAGUCGAACGGCAGCACAGUAAGAGCUUGCUCUUACGGGUGGCGCGUGGCGGACGGGUGAGGAAUACAUCGGAAUCUACUUUUUCGUGGGGGAUAACGUAGGGAAACUUACGCUAAUACCGCAUACGACCUACGGGUGAAAGCAGGGGAUCUUCGGACCUUGCGCGAUUGAAUGAGCCGAUGUCGGAUUAGCUAGUUGGCGGGGUAAGGGCCCACCAAGGCGACGAUCCGUAGCUGGUCUGAGAGGAUGAUCAGCCACACUGGAACUGAGACACGGUCCAGACUCCUACGGGAGGCAGCAGUGGGGAAUAUUGGACAAUGGGCGCAAGCCUGAUCCAGCCAUACCGCGUGGGUGAAGAAGGCCUUCGGGUUGUAAAGCCCUUUUGUUGGGAAAGAAAAGCAGCAGGUUAAUACCCCGCUGUUCUGACGGUACCCAAAGAAUAAGCACCGGCUAACUUCGUG